rnacentral:rRNA from 1 species
UAGGGGAAUCUUCCACAAUGGACGAAAGUCUGAUGGAGCACCCGCCGCGUGAGUGAAGAAGGUUCUCGGAUCGUAAAACUCUGUUGUGAGGGAAGAACAAGUACCGGAGUAUUCCCCGGUACCUUGAC